UUAGGCAACGCCCCACGGAGGGGCAGAUCAAGACGCGGAGGACCAGGCGGGGCGGGAGGAAAUCAAGAGGGACGCAUACAGACACGCUCCCAGACUCACUGAAUUGUCUACAAGCUGACGAGGAAACCCUCUCACUAUGUCAGCUUGCUCACCAUUGGAAAUCUCCUGCAGCCUCUCAUCCCUCUAUGCUUCCAUGUCACUGAACCAACUUUGUGCAGUGUUAUAAAUUGAGAUACUUGUACUUAUGAUUCUGUGCACUUGAAUACUGUGGUACAUACGAACGAUGUAUAAUAUGCCGCUUGUGCCCCCAUGCAUAUGUGAAUGUUAUAGGUGAUACCUGAUAUAUACCAAAUGUAAAUACCGCACGGCCUGAGUACUCUGUGAUAUGCUACAUAGAGGAUUUACGCAUUUUUCAAACAAAAUUAUUAUACCAAUGGCAUAG